UAAAGUGACAAAUGAGAUAGU
rnacentral:siRNA from 1 species